rnacentral:rRNA from 1 species
AAAAGAACCUGAAACCGUGUACGUACAAGCAGUGGGAGCCCCACCACUAAGCCAGUGGUGAACUCCACAUACGCAUCCUUUGCUGAGGAUACGGUUAACGGAGCGAAAGCGACGUUCAACCGCAAAAGAAGCAGAGGGGGCUUAGUGGUGGGGUGACUGCGUACCUUUUGUAUAAUGGGUCAGCGACUUAUAUUCUGUAGCAAGGUUAACCGAAUAGGGGAGCCGGAGGGAAACCGAGUCUUAAUUGGGCGUUAAGUUGCAGGGUAUAGACCCGAAACCCGGUGAUCUAGCCAUGGGCAGGUUGAAGGUUGGGUAACACUAACUGGAGGACCGAACCGACUAAUGUUGAAAAA